AACUUCGGCGGAAGUCGUGGCAGAUGUUCAUUUUGUCAGACUACUCUAGUAUAUGCUACUGUACUCAAAAUGUUACAUUUUCUACACAUAUAUUGAGACGAUUGAAAUACUGCUAGUUUUACAGAAAAUUGCCCUUUUCGUCCUCAUGCUAGCUAGCAGUAGCCACUCACCAAUUUUGGAAUGACAGUGUCAGCCAAUCAGCUCCUUUGUUGUUCAACGCUACAUGCCAUUCCAUAACGGCUGCUGUGGCUACUGGUAGCUAGCAUGAGGACGAAAAAUGAAGUUUUACGUAAAACUAGCAGUAUUUCAAUCUUCUUGAUGGAGCAAUGUGGAUGAAGGUAACAUUUGGGGUACAGUGGCAUAUCCCAUCCCUGCAUUGAGAGAUUACUUCAUUCCUGAAACGCCCUCUUCGCGGACACAACAAACAAGAUUCUCAUCUCAUUCACCACAACUGAAAAGGGGACCUUUUCUUGCAGCAGACCAGUAGAAACUGGUUUUGUUGAGCAGACGCAAAACAGAUUCCAGAUCAGCUACUUCUACCCUACAUGCAUUCCCCCACAUGGCCCCCAAGCCUUGUAGCUGGUCCAGAGACAGUGUCUAAUUAACAACAAUAUCACAAUUUAAUCACUAAUAUGUGAUUUCUGUAUGAAUAAUACUCAUAACGUUGGUGACAAGUUAUAUAAUUUUUUAUUUUCUUUUUUACUUUUACAAUGAAUGUUAAAGAGGCUUUUAAGUUGUUUUACAGGCUAAUGGUUAACUACGGCCAGUUGAAAAAACAGCUGUGUACUUUUUCACUUUCCUCUGGGCAUCAAAGAAGGUAGUCAGAUUGUCUUUCAAUAGUCAUCUUCCAAAGGAAUUCUCACACCAUUAUGGUUCAAGGUGCCAAGGAUGAUGAGGUACUACACCAUCACCACCGGCAAUACUAUGGAUUCCCAUAUCCAGUUUAUGCGACAACUUGGAGGAGGCUUCACUGAAGUGAUGUCACCAGAGCAGAGUGAUGUCAUCAUGGCUUUCUGUACCAUCGUCUCUCGUGCUGGUACUGAUAUUGAGGCAGCACAGCAGCAGAUUCCAGAGGGUAAAGAUGUCAUUCUGGUAGUCCUGCAUCAUUAUUUUAACCCAGACUGCACUGUACCUGACAGCAGCAGACUAGUGACCAGAAGUGAUGUAAUACUCACAGUAGACUGUCUGUUCCAUGAGAGUAAGGAAGGACUACUGAACUGUCCUCUUAAUGAAGAAGCCGUUAAAGAGAUUAGGAAGAAACUUGACAUACAUCCUGAGACCAAAGACCAGAUGGACAGUGUGUGGAGGAUUUUCUCUGUCUGUUGUACAAUAGUUGUAAUCUUGGCCAUUGGGACUGUUUUAAAGAAAAUUAUUUCAGAGAAAUAUGCUUAGCUUUUUGGCUGCAUGUCUGUUCCAACAGUGAAUCAAUGAUAACCUCACAGCUGUGGAAGUGGGGCCAAUUCUAAACAUGUUUCCCGCCAGAUAUGCAUUUUCCGAUGUGAUAUCCUUCAAAAAUAGUAAAAGAGCAUAGAGGACUUGCCA